GGCCUCGACCAUAUUUUGUUGAGGCACAAGUUGAGGCUCGAGAGGGAAAAGGCAGCGUCUCAUCCGGAGCCACGAGAGGAGACCAAGCUCUCGAUUUCACGUAAAGCAGCACGGGAAAAGGAGUUGCAGGAAGCUUGGGGUGGUACGAGCUUGGGGAAUGCCAUGAGGCCGCACCUCUCGAAACUCGAACUAGAUAAAGCUGCCUGGAUCAAAGCUGAAGAGGAGGAAAGGAGAAAAGCUCUCAAGGGGAUGUAAAUGCUGUGCUGUUACUCACAAACUCUCGUGUCAACCCUGUGAGUUACAUCAAAAAGCUCUGUGAAUUGCUCACAAACACUUGUGUCAACCCUGUGAAUUACAUCAAAAGCUCGGUGAAUUACUCACAAAA